rnacentral:rRNA from 1 species
UGGGGAAUCUUCCGCAAUGGACGAAAGUCUGACGGAGCAACGCCGCGUGAGUGAAGACGGCCUUCGGGUUGUAAAGCUCUGUGAUCCGGGACGAAAGAGCCUGAGGUAAAUAGCCUAAGGAAGUGACGGUACCGGAAAAGCAAGCCACGGCUAACUACGUGCCAGCAGCCGCGGUAAUACGUAGGUGGCAAGCGUUGUCCGGAAUUAUUGGGCGUAAAGCGCGCGCAGGCGGCUUACUAAGUCCAUCUUAAAAGUGCGGGGCUUAACCCCGUGAUGGGAUGGAAACUGGAAAGCUGGAGUAUCGGAGAGGAAAGUGGAAUUCCUAGUGUAGCGGUGAAAUGCGUAGAGAUUAGGAAGAACACCGGGGGCGAAGGCGACUUUCUGGACGAAAACUGACGCUGAGGCGCGAAAGCGUGGGGAGCAAACAGG